rfam:Pichia angusta strain DL-1 mitochondrion, complete genome.
UGAGCCGUUGACUAAUCGGUAAGUCCCUUGUAUUUGGAGCAAGUUUAUAAUAGUUCGAAUCUAUUCGGUUCAA